AAGCUCCUCUGGUGCUUACCAGAAGCUGACUUCUUUAUACUGACCCUAUAGAACGGGAGCCAUAGUAAAUCUACCUCAUAUACACCUCAGUCAGGUCCUCUGCCUGAUCUAUAUUAUGAAUGGCGGGACAUGG